rnacentral:rRNA from 1 species
CCUACGGGAGGCAGCAGUAGGGAAUUUUCCACAAUGGGCGAAAGCCUGAUGGAGCAACGCCGCGUGGGUGAAGAAGGUCUUCGGAUCGUAAAACCCUGUUGUUAGAGAAGAAAGUGCGUGAGAGUAACUGUUCACGUUUCGACGGUAUCUAACCAGAAAGCCACGGCUAACUCCGUGCCAGCAGCCGCGGUAAUACGUAGGUGGCAAGCGUUAUCCGAAUUUAUUGGGCGUAAAGGGAACGCAGGCGGUCUUUUAAGUCUGAGGUGAAAGCCUUCGGCUUAACCGGAGUAGUGCAUUGGAAACUGGGAGACGUGAGUGCAGAAGAGGAGAGUGGAACGCCAUGUGUAGCGGUGAAAUGCGUAGAUAUAUGGAAGAACACCAGUGGCGAAAGCGGCUCUCUGGUCUGUAACUGACGCUGAGGUUCGAAAGCGUGGGUAGCAAACAGGAUUAGAUACCCCAGUAGUC